CGCGUAAUGGAGCAGAUGGUAGCUCGCAUGGUUCAUACCCAUGAAGUCGCAGGUUCGACUCCUGCUUACGCCACAA
rnacentral:tRNA from 2 species